UGGGGAAUAUUGCACAAUGGGCGCAAGCCUGAUGCAGCAACGCCGCGUGAGGGACGACGGCCUUCGGGUUGUAAACCUCUUUUAGUAGGGAAGAAGCGAAAGUGACGGUACCUGCAGAAAAAAGCACCGGCUAACUACGUGCCAGCAGCCGCGGUAAUACGUAGGGUGCGAGCGUUGUCCGGAAUUAUUGGGCGUAAAGAGCUCGUAGGCGGUCUGUCGCGUCUGCUGUGAAAACCCGAGGCUCAACCUCGGGCCUGCAGUGGGUACGGGCAGACUAGAGUGCGGUAGGGGAGAAUGGAAUUCCUGGUGUAGCGGUGGAAUGCGCAGAUAUCAGGAGGAACACCGAUGGCGAAGGCAGUUCUCUGGGCCGUAACUGACGCUGAGGAGCGAAAGCGUGGGGAGCGAACAGGAUUAGAUACCCUGGUAGUCCACGCCGUAAACGUUGGGCGCUAGAUGU
rnacentral:rRNA from 1 species